AUCUUCUCCGCGCUAUGGCUGCGUUCGGCCGUCAGGUCCUUGAUUGGCACCGCCUGAUCCCCCUCACCUGGGCCUGUAUGGCUAGGCAGACUCCUCAUCUUGGAGAACAGAGAAGGACGACAGCUUCUUUGUUGCGCAAACUGACUACAGCCUCCAAUGGAGGGGUCAUUGAGGAGUUAUCUUGUGUUAGAUCCAAUAACUAUGUGCAGGAACCAGAGUGCAGGAGGAAUCUUGUUCAGUGCCUCCUUGAGAAGCAGGGGACUCCUGUGGUACAAGGGUCCUUGGAGCUAGAGAGGGUCAUGAGUUCCCUCCUGGACAUGGGUUUCAGCAAUGCCCAUAUUAAUGAAUUGCUCAGUGUACGGCGAGGUGCCAGUCUUCAACAGUUGCUGGACAUCAUUUCAGAAUUUAUUCUCUUGGGUCUGAAUCCAGAGCCUGUGUGUGUGGUCUUGAAGAAAAGUCCCCAGUUAUUGAAACUGCCUAUUAUGCAAAUGAGGAAGCGCUCCAGUUACCUGCAAAAGCUUGGGCUUGGAGAAGGGAAAUUAAAGAGGGUGCUUUACUGUUGCCCUGAAAUUUUCACCAUGCGCCAGCAGGACAUUAACGACACUGUCAGGCUUCUCAAGGAGAAGUGCCUUUUCACGGUACAGCAAGUCACCAAGAUUUUGCACAGUUGCCCCUCUGUUCUUCGAGAGGACCUGGGUCAACUGGAAUACAAGUUUCAGUAUGCAUACUUCAGGAUGGGAAUUAAGCAUCCAGACAUUGUAAAGAGUGAGUACUUGCAGUAUUCACUAACCAAGAUUAAGCAGAGACACAUUUACCUGGAGCGCCUGGGACGGUACCAAACCCCUGAUAAGAAGGGGCAGACACAGAUCCCUAACCCAUUGCUCAAGGACAUUCUCAGAGUUUCAGAAGCUGAGUUUUUGGCCAGGACAGCCUGUACUUCUGUUGAGGAGUUUCAAGUUUUUAAGAAGCUCCUGGCUCGGGAGGAGGAGGAGUCUGAGAGCAGCACAUCUGAUGACAAAAGGGCAAGUCUGGAUGAGGAUGAGGAUGACGAUGAUGAGGAGGACAAUGAUGAGGAUGACAAUGAUGAGGAUGACGAUGAUGAGGACGACGACGAGGCGGAGGACAAUGAUGAGGAUGAGGACGACGACGAGGAGGAAUAGCUGUGAUGGAAGGACUAGAGCGAAAGGGCCCAGAGAUAUCAAGGAAGCUUUUCAUUCUCUUAAAGCUUUUGGGUCCUUUACUUGAAUCUUCUCAAGUUAUUUUUUAUUCUAAAACUGGUCUCUUGAUGAAAAAAAUUAUAAGUCACCUGAGAGGCAGACAGAUCAAACCAAACAGGAAACAGGAAAUGCAUGUUUGAUCUGUUGUCACGUGUCUGUGGGGAGGGCCCUGUCCCAUCCUGAAUAAGAUACUUAUGUUGAGCUAUUCACAUCAAGGGGACUCAAUAUAUCAACAAUUGGUUUUAUUUUUUUCUCUUUUGAAUAUGUUGGUGAUAAUUCCGUGACAGUUGGAAGAUGGGGUUCAUUCUUCCGGUUCAGGAAUCACUAUGUAUUUCCUUCUUGUGAUAAAAAUAAAAUUACGAGAAGGCAAUGUGAGGUUUUAGUACAUCAUAGCACUUUAUUUUAUGAAAACAUGUAGCAGAUUUUCCACAAAAAUGCUUAUUUUUAAUCCAAAAGUAUAUUGCUUCAUAAUGGUAUUCAGUGCACAGCAGAGUAAAAGAAGUUAAUUCAUGAUGUACUGGUUAAUUUUGCAUGGCUUCUUAAGGCCAGCAAAAUGCUGGCAGUUUUCUUUAUCUUUGUGAAGAACAGGCCCUUCCUGUUUGGGGAAGUUGGCUUUUAUGUCAGCUCUUGGCCAGUGGUCACUUCCAAGCCUGGUGUCUCCGGCCCUGUAGUCUGUAGUGCCAGACUGUGCUGGCCUGGAGAGUGCUGGGGCAGGUGGAGGCCAGGGAAUGGUCCCAUACAGUUAUCUCCCCUGCCCUGGUUACAGACAGCUUCGAGAACCAGAGGAGAAGAGCAUAGGGUCAUGGAGCAGGUGGGCUGAAGCCAGGGCCACAGGGAGCAAUCCGUGACCCCCCAAGGUGGGUGUGGGGGGGGGGGGGGGCGUGUCACCUUAGGGAACUCAAUGAGUCCGAAGAACAAUUUGAAAUGUUGGGAAAAGAGAAGAGGAAUUUGAUGUCAGCCGGGGUGAUCCCUGAGAUAGAGGCCUGUCUCUGAUGGCAUGAGCUCUAAGAGGGUCCUGGAGGAUUGGUACAUCCUAGAACAUUCCAGUUAGCCCUCUUUUAGGGGAAACUGGCAUAGGAUUGAUGCAGAAGGCAUUUUUGAUGAUGGGACCAAAAUUCAAGUCUCCUUGGUAGCAUUCUAGGAUCAACUAGAUCCUAGGAUCUGGUAGAUUGUAGGAUUCUAGUGGGUAGAGGCCAGGGGUGCUGUGAAACAUCCUGCAGUGCACAGGAUGGUCCCACAAGAGAGGAUGAUCCGGCCCAGAAUGUCAGUGCUGAGCCUGAGAAACUCAUCUAAGGCCUGGUCCACAACAGUAAUGUGACUGUUCACUCGUGACAACUUCAGAUGGUAAAUGGACUUAGGAUCGUAUUAUUUUAUUUAAAAGAAAAAUAAGGAGCUGGUUUUUCAGCCGGGUUCCUUUCCCCUAUGCACUGGAAUACCCCUGGUAGGUGUGAGCUGCAUGCAAUUGUGGGGAUUCAGCACUGAAAUCUAGGUGCUUUUGUUUUCUCCAGCAGCCUCGUCUUACAGCGUGACUGCAAAGAAAAAGACUUUUGUUUUGCAAAAGAAAAGCAGCUCGGUGACUCCGUCCACAUCGCCACAGUUGAGUCAGAUGGCAGUGGCAGUCCUUUGCCAGUGGAAGGAGUUCCUGCUAAGGGGAGGUGCAGGAGGACUAAUUUAUUAUUGUGCAACUGCCAGUCCUGCGCAUUCCAGCUACGCUAAGCGCCCUGCCCAGGCACGUAACAAAACAUAGACCUGUUUUGAAGUGGCUUGUUACCCAAGGGUGCCUCACUCAUCUGCGCCACCAGGAAGAUGAACUGUGAGGGCUCCUAUAAGGGGCAGGAAGAGCAAAGCUGUCCUAGGCCAACCAGAGAUUCAUCUUUCAUGCAGUGACAUGUUGAUAAAAAAUGAUGGAAGUACCACCAAGAACAGGGAAGGACAAGCCAGAGGCUGGAGGAAGAUACCUGCAGAACACAGACCUGACAAAGGAUCAGUAUCAAAACAUAUAAGAAUUUUGACAAAUGAAUAAAAAGAGUACAAAUAACCCAACAUAAAGUCAAAAGGCGUGAUCAGGCAUUUCACAGAAGCAAACACCUUUGGUGGAUGCCCAUGAGGAGAGGCGCAGUCACAUCAGUGCCCAGGAGAUGCAAACCCAGAUCCCAGGGGUGUGCAUCCCACCCGUUCUGCCUGUAGGAUCUGCAAACCCGGCAAAACCUAGUUCUAGAGAGACUGGAUUCACUGCAUGUCUUCAUCACUGCUGGAGGGAGCGCAGACUGCUAUCGCCUCUUAGAAAAUGACUUAGUUCUCAUGUAAUUUGGGCAUUCACACAUCCUCAUCCUAGAUCCAGCUUUUCCACUCCCGCACACGUACUGGAAAACCUGUACAGGAACAUCCACUGCAGCACUGCUCAUACCAAACACAACCUACAUGUUCUCUGCACAGAGAGGGGAGAAGAGCCGGUCAGUUCACUCAGUGGACUCUGUGCUCAAUAGUAGGUGUGAAUAAGCCGCAGCCGCCCAGACCGCAUGGGCCAACCUCAGUCCGAGAAUGCGGAGUGAAAACACAGGUCUAACGAUCACACAUGGCAAGAUAAUUAUCUUGCAAAGAAAACUCACUUAUUGUUCUGCCAUACAUAUAUGUACCAUAGAAUCACUCCCCGCACCUUCCACUCUGAAAAAACAAAGGAAUUCUAGGCACAAAGUUCAGGAUCAUGGUUAACUGAGGGGAGAGAACAGGGAGUAUGAUGGCAAGAUAGAAGGUAUCGUUCACAUCCAAGUUUAUAGGUUGGGUUCUUGAUUUAGUCAUUAUUCAAAGGCUAAUAACUAAAUAAAAGGUAGCUAGCGUGAGAGUGCAACAUGAACCAAAGAUCAUGACUGGCUUUGCGCAUCGAGGGGCCAUUAAAGAGUCUACUUUUCAUGUUAUCACUUAAAAUCAUUUUGCACCCACCAGGGCAUGAGCAUCUCGUGCUGGCAAACACCACAUGACCGUGGUGACCUCAGGGCCAGCCCGGGGGUCAUCUUGAAUCUCUCCUGCUGAAGAGACCCAGGAGGGUAACACACGCCCCUCCAAUCUCUGAGUUCUAGGAAAUGAACACCUGGUAUUUAAAGGGGCUGACAUAAUGCAAAUCAUCUGAUGAAAUGUUUGUUUUAGUUCACUUAAAGAUCAACACGAGAGUCUUCACUCUGAAUGGGCCACACCUGAAUUAAGAGAAUCCUUCACUCUCUGCGUCGGAUGCACAAACCAGUCCUCCUGGUGCUCACAGGGGCUAGCAGCAAGUCCAGACCUUGUAUGGUGAGGGCGGGGGGGGGAUGGUGAACUUAGGGUUCAGCGAAACCGCCACUUGCAAACACACCCCACCGCAGGUGCCCUUGAUGUGUACACAUGUCCUUGAGAAGCUGGGGGCAAGGCCUUGCGGGUGAGACCACGCUCAGCAGCUCACACCUUUACCAAGUACUAGGACUUCUUUGGGGUUGGGUUGAGGGGUGAUCCCAAUCUGAGUCUAUGGUAUGACUCAGGGGAGAACAGGUCACCGGGUGCUAGGAGAGCUGUCCAUAGAGGACACAGCCCCAAAGGAUUAGAACCAGGAGAAAGGUAGAGUCUGACUCAGGGUGAGGAACACACAUGUAUUGGUGCUGCCCGAAGGGGAACUGCCUCGUGAGCGUCUGGGAACUCUUACUGCAGGUGCUCAGCAGAUGCUUGGUGCCCUGCAGGGACGUGCUGGCCUCGAUCCUCACGAGGCAGAGCCCCGGACUAGGAGACAGUUCAGGUCCUGCAUAACCUGAGUGUCCACAGGGCCCAGCUAGUCCUCAAGCUGGGGCUCGCCCAGUGGCUGCUCCCUCUGCUUCUCCCAUCCUGACUCCGCCUGCUCCUCUUUGGAGAAGUGAGGGGUGAGGGGCCCAGAGGCAGGGGCUGGGGUGGGCUCUGCUGCAUGUGGAGGCGAAGGAGGAGAGGGGAGGGGAGGCAGCAUCAAAGCCAGUCUCUCUAGCUCAGACUCUGGGUGGUUUGGGUGGGUCCUGCCCCCUGGCCUGUUCCCGUCUGUGGGGUCCCACUGCUUGGGUGGUGUAGCUUCACCCCAUCUUCCCACACCGGGGUGCCUGGUGCUCAGCCUCCCCUCAGGUAGGCUCUGUGCCUCCUGAUUCCUCACCGUGGGUGGUCCCUCCUGCCUGCAGCCUCUAAGGCCCCUGAGAGCAGUCAGUCAGUCCCAAAGUCCCCACCAGCGCUGCUGACUCACUUCCGAUGUCCUUGCUGCCGUGUUCAGGGAGCUGGAGGGCCAGGCUGACCCGCUUGGGGGCUUCCUCCAUGUUCUCGAGCUGCGCCGAGGCUGUGGGUUCUAGGAGAAGCCAGGCGGUGACCACACGGCGCAGCUGCUUUGCACCCGGGAUGGUCCUGGGGCCACCCUUUUGAGUGCUUCUAUAUCUCAGGGAGCACGGAUGUCCCUGGUGGGGACCAGGCUCCCUGCGUGGCCCCAGCACCUGUCGGCCCCAGAGCUGCCUCCCCUGAAGGGCUGGCCUCACCCUCCUGCUGACCCUCUGGAGGGGCUCGGCCUUCCCCUUGCAGGGCCCCCUCAGAGCUGCUUCAGGGACAGCCACCACUGAUCAUGCUGAGAGGCCCCAUCCUCACGGCUGAUGCGGUUGCUUUCUUCUUAGGGUCAAAUUCUGCAUUCCUCUCCUUCCACCCCUGCUUCUUGGAGGCUGUGGCACCCCCUGCUCUUUCUGAGCUGCCCUCAGUCUGUACUGACCUUCCUCAUGCCCUCGCCCCCAACUGCAUCACUUCUUAUGCAGGGAUCUCAACCGCACCCUCGGGCACUUCAUAUCCGCUUCCAUAGCUGCAAGUACAACGGGCCCCCCUCUGUACUCCAGAUCUCACCUGCCCACCACUGGGCAUCCCGGGCAGCUGCCUGCCCUCUCCUCAGACACCUUGCUGGGGGCUCUCUCCCCUGCUCACCGUGCGGCAGGGACCCCAGGGCUCUGGUCCCUGCUUGCCACUCUCCUUGCUGCAUUUCCCUCCCUCCUCUGCCUGAGGAGUUUUUGCUCAGAGCGUGUUCAUUAAACUGGUGACUAGGCUCUGUUGGGGAGUUCCAUGAGGAUGACCACCUGGCCUUCCAGGUGAGAGGCAAGGGCCAGAGAGGUCCCCUCUGGGGCAGGGUCGCGCCUGCCUCACUCCUGCCAACAUGUCUCAGGGCUUCUGUGUCAGAAUCACAGGCAGAUUCCCAGAGCGGCACUCACCCAGUAAACCCGGUGGGAAGGGCCCAAGGCACCUGGGCCCAUCAGCCUUGCUGCCACCGGGAAGAUCUUGCCAGGACAGUGGCGGAGGAUUUGCCGGACCACACUCGGAGUGGCGGGUUAGACCCUCAUGGCCUCCUGCCCAUGGUUUACUAAAACAAAGCUCAGAGCCCUACUUUGGCAAAUAAAGCUGCUGUAAUGUCUCA